rnacentral:rRNA from 1 species
UGCCCAUGGGCGGUGCCUAUACAUGCAGUCGAGCGCGGGAAGCCGGCGGACUCCUUCGGGAGGAAACCGGUGGAACGAGCGGCGGACGGGUGAGUAACACGUGGGCAACCUGCCGGACUGAUGGGAAUAACCCCGGGAAACCGGGGCUAAUGCCCAAUACGCCCUGACCUCGCCUGAGGUCAGCGGCAAAGCAGGGAUCUUCGGAUCCUUGCACAGUCCGAUGGGCCCGCGGCGCAUUAGCUAGUUGGAGAGGUAAGGGCUCCCCAAGGCGACGAUGCGUAGCCGACCUGAGAGGGUGAUCGGCCACACUGGGACUGAGACACGGCCCAGACUCCUACGGGAGGCAGCAGUAGGGAAUCAUCCGCAAUGGGCGAAAGCCUGACGGUGCAACGCCGCGUGAGUGAUGAAGGUUUUCGGAUCGUAAAGCUCUGUUGACAGGGAAGAACCCACGCCAGUCGAACAGGCUGGCGUGCUGACGGUACCUGUCCAGAAAGCCCCGGCUAACUACGUGCCAGCAGCCGCGGUAAUACGUAGGGGGCAAGCGUUGUCCGGAAUUAUUGGGCGUAAAGGGCACGCAGGCGGUUUCGUCAGUCCGAUGUGACAGGCCACGGCUCAACCGUGGAAGGCCAUUGGAAACUGCGAAACUUGAGGACAGAAGAGGAGAGUGGAAUUCCACGUGUAGCGGUGAAAUGCGUAGAUAUGUGGAGGAACACCAGUGGCGAAGGCGACUCUCUGGUCUGUACCUGACGCUGAGGUGCGAAAGCAUGGGGAGCAAACAGGAUUAGAUACCCUGGUAGUCCAUGCCGUAAACGCUGAGUGCUAGGUGUUAGGGGUUUCGAUACCCGUAGUGCCGAAGCUAAACGCAUUAAGCACUCCGCCUGGGGAGUACGACCGCAAAGGUUGAAACUCAAAGGAAUUGACGGGGGCCCGCACAAGCGGUGGAGCAUGUGGUUUAAUUCGACGCAACGCGAAGAACCUUACCAGAUCUUGACAUCUUCUGCUACGCCUCGAGAGAGCCGGUUCCCCUUUCGGGGACGGAAUGACAGGUGGUGCAUGAUUGUCGUCAGCUCGUGUCGUGAAAUGGUCGGUUAAGUUCCCGCACCGAGCGCAACCCUAAAUCUAAGUUGCCAGCUUUCAGUUUGUGAUCUCUAGGUGACUGCCGGGUGACAAUCCGGAAGAAGGUGGGGAAUUACGUCUGAAUGCAAUCAUGCCCCCUUAUGCAAUCUGUGCCUACACAUCGAUGCUC